AAUGAAACAUGGAGACUCUAUGAAAUGUCUUUAUGUUGCUUAAACAGAGGAAUACCAAUAUGGCAAGAUAUCGUUUCAGUUGCCCUUUUAUUUGAUUGGCAAUUUGAUUGUUGCUUGUCUACAC